rnacentral:rRNA from 1 species
CAGAGGUCCCGAGCGUUGUUCGGAUUCACUGGGCGUAAAGGGUGCGUAGGUGGCUUGGUAAGUUUGAUGUGAAAGCUCAGGGCUCAACCCUGAAAUGGCAUUGAAUACUACUGAGCUGGAGGUUUGGAGGGGGGACUGGAAUUCUCGGUGUAGCAGUGAAAUGCGUAGAUAUCGAGAGGAACACCAGUGGCGAAGGCGAGUCCCUGGACAACACCUGACACUGAGGCACGAAAGCUAGGGGAGCAAACAGGAUUAGAUACCCUGGUAGUCCUAGCCCUAAACGGUGCGCAUUUGCUGUAGGAGGAAUCGACCCCUUCUGUGGCGAAGCUAACGCGAUAAAUGCGCCGCCUGGGGAGUACGGUCGCAAGAUUA